rnacentral:piRNA from 1 species
UCCAAGUCCAAUCGUCCACCCACCUGCCUGG